CUACGCGGCUACGCCAACCGAUAAUGAAAUGUCAAUUUGAUCAAUUUUAUAUAGUCCAGGAGUUCCUUUUAAACCAAAAAAACAAAAUACAAAAACAAAACUGUUCAUUUGAGCUCAAAUUUACUUAUGUCUGGAAGAAACUAACCAUAUAGUUAUAUUUCUAUUCUUAACUUAAUGGUAAUUUUUGUUUAUCUCAAGUAAAAUCCACCUUGUAUUUUUCUAGAAACCAUUCCUCGAAAUGGAUUCAUUAACGUCAACUUUAGUCAAACAUUUCUUUGUAUGAUCGAAGAGGACUGAAGAACUUGCGUGACUUAUUUAAAUUAAUUGAAUCUAUAUAACAAUGAUUAAAGUAUAAAAAUAUCAGUUAAAUAUCAAAUUAAAAAUUCUAUAUUUUCGAUUAGCUACAAAAAAAUUAGUAUUAUGAAUCGGUCAUCGACUCCCAAGUGUAGACGAAGUGGAUGCCUGAGUUCUACUGCCAAAGUAAUUAGGGCUCAAACGCAAUUAGUGCAAAAUAUCGAGGUCAAAAUACAAGAAACCGUAAAACCUUCAUCUCGAUGACUAUGACUAUGAGCGAAGACUGGGUCUCCUCAGCUUCGCUACUGCAAGCGACAGUGAGAAAUUUUGAUUUUGGUUCUAUAUUGCUUGAUUGCCUCCAAGAAUGUUCCUUUUUUACUUGGCCUAUACAAUGAAAAGGUUUCCUGCUUUGGUUCGGAAGCGGGAUAAGCAAAGAUGGAUUUCUUGAAUUUUGGCGAAACCCCAAUAUGGCAGAAGUUAGUGAAUUUUGUUUAAUCCAGUUAUACCAGGUACUUUUUCGAGGAAAAUGUUUGUGAUAUAGUUCUGAUUAGAUGUUUGCCUAUGGAGAUUGAUUUAGAAUUGCCAUCGUUGGACAUAAGAAAUAAUGAUGGUGGUAUUGGUAAUGAAGAAAUUGUGGCUGAUAAUGAAAUUAUGGGAGAUGAAGAUGGAGUGAAUUUGAAAGUCUUGAGUGAUAAUAGAGGUAGGGUAGAGAGUUACAUGCCUCAAAAUGGUAUGGAAUUCGAGACGAAGGAAGCGGCCUAUUCUUUCUAUAGGGAGUAUGCUCGGUCAGUUGGAUUUGGCAUCACGAUAAAAGCUAGUCGCAGGUCCAAAAAAUCUGGCAAGUUUAUUGAUAUAAAGAUCGCGUGUUCUAGGUUUGGGAGCAGGCCUCAGUCCAGCACGAGUAUUAGUCAAAGGCCGUGUGCCAAGACAGACUGCAAAGCUAGCAUGCAUAUCAAGAAAAGGUCAGAGGGGAAGUGGUUUGUGUACAAUUUUGUGGAGGGGCAUAAUCACGAAUUUAUGCCUAACGAUUUCUUUAACACUAUAAGGGGAAGAAAGAAUAAGGAGGCCGAUGCUGCCUGCCACAGGAAAGGGCUGCAGCUGGUUUUAGACGAGAGUGAUGUAGAGUUGUUGCUAGAUUAUUUCAUGCAUAUGCAAGCUGAGGCUCCGGGGUUUUACUAUGUGAUAGAUUUUGAUGCUGAAGCACGUAUGAGAAAUGUGUUUUGGGUUGAUCAGAAAGGUAGGCAUGAUUAUGCAUCUUUCAGUGAUGUGAUCUUCUUUGAUGCUCAUUACAUCAGAACAAAGUAUAGAAUUCCUUUUGUACCUAUUGUCGGGGUGAACAAUCAUUUUCAGUUCAUUUUGCUUGGAUGUGCCUUGAUUGGAGAUGAAACGAAGUCUAGCUUUACUUGGUUGAUGCGCACUUGGCUUAGAGCAGUUGCUGCACAUAGUCCGAAAGUGGUCAUCACUGAUAACGACAGGUCAUUUAUAGAAGCUGCACAUGAUGUUUUCCCUAAUGCUUCCCAUUGCUUUUGCCCUUGGCACGUCUUCACUGAAGUUGGUCAAAAUCUAAGUGGGAAAUUUGACAAAUCCGAACUUCUUUUGAUGAAAUUCAAGAAAUGCACAUAUAGAUCCCGGACUACCGAAGAAUUUGAUAAGAGAUGGCACAAAAUGGUCAAGCAAUUUGAUCUUGGAGAUGAUAAGUGGGUGCAAUUAUUGUAUGAUGAUCGCAGAAAAUGGGUUCCUACUUAUAUGAGAGAGGUUUUUCUUGGUGGAUUUUGUACAGUUGAGAGAUCACAAAGUGUAGUGUCUUUCUUUGACAAGUACCUGCAAAAGGAAACUAGAUUUCACGAAUUCAUUGAUCAAUACAAAUUAUUUUUGCGUGAGUGUUGUGAACAAGAAGUUAAGGCAGAGGUUGAAACUCGCAGCAGUGGACCAAUAUUGAUUUCUCAUUCACCUUUUGAGAAGCAAAUGUCUAAACUUUACACAAAUGAUAUAUUCAAAAAGUUUCAAGCUGAAGUUUCAGGAACACUUUCAUGCACUCCUGAAAAAGAAGGUGAAGAUGAGGAAACCAUUGUUUAUAGGGUUUAUGAUCUUGAAAGGAAACAGAGCUUCACUGUCUCCUGGAGUAAAGGAAUAUAUGGCAUCUAUUGUUUGUGCCGUUUGUUUGAAUAUAGCGGAUUUCUCUGCAGACACUCCUUAUCAGUUCUCCAACUAUCAAGCAUUUCCACUAUUCCGUCAAACUAUAUACUGAAGCGAUGGACACGAGCUGCAAAGAUUAUAGAUAUACCUCAAGCAUCAGCCAGUACAAAUUUUAGGGUUCAGCGCCUUAAUGAUAUUUGUAAACUUUCUAUUAAAGUAGGCGAGGAAGGUUCAAUAUCAGAAGAAGCUUAUAAAGUUGCAUAUCAUGCUCUAGAAGAAGCAAUGGAGCAUUGUGCGCGCUUGAACUAUUCUGCAAAGAGCAUCCUGGAGACCACCAAGACUGCUGCUCAUGGUCUUUUAGACGUUGGACAGAAUAAAGACAAAAGCAUUGCAAAGGCAUCAAAGACAAAAGUUCCAAAGAAACGGAAGGUACGAGCUGAGCCUGAAACAGUGUUGUCUACUGGGAUGGAAGAAAGCAGCCAGGACGUGGAGCAGCUGAACCGACAAUCACAUAGACUUCAUGAUUCUUACAUUUCUCAGCAGGAUUUUCAAGGGGUGGAACCUGAGUUAAGAAAUCCCAUAGUCAAUGGUUACAGUGGUGCAGAGCAUGGCGGACCGGGACACUUGAGUUCACUAUCGUCUCUGCAAGAUUGCUACUACAAUGACCAAUCGCUUAUGCAAGGUGUUCUGGGUAAUUUUUCAGCACGUGUCAGCCAUCAUGCUACCCAACAGAAUCUGCAUGCUCUGUUGCAGGGUCAGUUUAGCUUCAGGCCCCUGUCCCUGGAAGGAUGUUCUCAACUACGGGAUAGCUUGCAAAAUGAAAAUUCUGUUAGUAUGAUGUCAAAGCAUUUGCACGAUUAACAUAUUUGGAGGGUUGGUGAUCUGCUGCUCCAGUUAGAAGUUUUGGGAGGUGAAGAGCUUUGUUAUGCACAAAUGGAGUUGUUGAAACUUUAUGGAGCAACACUUUGCAAAUGCCUGUUUUGCCCCUUGUUAGACGACACGAUAUAUGGCUCAUUUUCUUGAUGGAUACUGCUUGGUGCGUCUAUGUGAGAUUGAGCUUUAGGGAUGUUAGGGAUGAAGACGGGCACAUCAUAUAUAUCGUGCAGCGAUUGAGAGCGCAUGCCAAAUAGGGUUGUGAGAGUGGAUGCAGAAUAUCGUUUCACUGGUAAAUAGAGAAUAUCAAUUAUUUUGAGGUCUUCUUUGACUGAUUUAUCAGAAUAUGGAAUUCUAAAGUAUGAUCAUCAUAUGUAAUAUAAAUUCCAUUUUGAGUCUCA